GCAGGCCCCAAGCAAGGAAGGAAGGAGGCUGGCAGAGCUCCCUGCAGCAGAGCAGACCAUCCAGCACAGCUUUUGCAGUGACCGUGCUUUGAUGACAAGCCAGAUGGCAGUUAUUCCUCACACCCGGUGCCAAGGAGCCUGAUUGGAGCUGCAAUUUACCUUCCAUGGUGAAGCACAAUGUUGGAGCGUACCACAGCUGCGAAUUUGGCUGCUGUUAAUAGAUGCUGAUGAGCUAUUCUUCAUAACUGGCUAUAAAAAGUGGUCAAGCAUAAUAUUUAUUGUGUGCCACUGCUGCAAUCUAGAGUAAAAAUUAAUCAAUCAGGAUUCUAACCCAGGUAAUACAUGCAGAUGAUAUGCAAAGUAAGUAAUUAAAUAUGCAGACGCAAGGAAGAGAGGCACUAGAGCACAGACAUAUUUCCAUUUGACAAAAAGGCAGCUGUCAGCGUAGGAAUCACAUGUGUGGGGUGCGCAUGCCUACAUAUAAACAAGACCCAGUUCACGCUGUUAAGAUGAAAGCUGAGAUGAAGGGAGUGCAGUGUGAGCCAGGAUCAGCCCCUGGGAGAAGAAUCUAAGUGCACUAAAAUGCCUGGGUUGCUGAAGAACCGGUGUGUUGAGAUCUCUCUGUGCUGAAUGAGAAAGAUAGGCUAUUGUAGGGGGCCCACGGGGAAAAUGAAUACCAAUAUACAGAAUCACUAGUCCCUAAUUUGCUCUUUAA